rnacentral:rRNA from 1 species
UACGUAGGGGGCAAGCGUUGUCCGGAUUUAUUGGGCGUAAAGAGUGUGUAGGCGGCUUGGUAGGUCCGCUGUGAAAACUCGAGGCUCAACCUCGAGAUGUCGGCGGAAACCACUUGGCUAGAGUCCGGAAGAGGAGAGUGGAAUUCCCGGUGUAGCGGUGAAAUGCGCAGAUAUCGGGAAGAACACCUAUGGCGAAGGCAGCUCUCUGGGACGGUACUGACGCUGAGACGCGAAAGCGUGGGGAGCGAACAGGG